rnacentral:rRNA from 1 species
AUUGAACGCUGGCGGCAUGCCUUACACAUGCAAGUCGAAUGGUAACAGGUCUUCGUAUGCUGACGAGUGGCGAACGGGUGAGUAAUACAUCGGAACGUGCCCGAUCGUGGGGGAUAACGAAGCGAAAGCUUUGCUAAUACCGCAUACGAUCUACGGAUGAAAGCAGGGGACCGCAAGGCCUUGCGCGAACGGAGCGGCCGAUGGCAGAUUAGGUAGUUGGUGGGAUAAAAGCUUACCAAGCCGACGAUCUGUAGCUGGUCUGAGAGGACGACCAGCCACACUGGGACUGAGACACGGCCCAGACUCCUACGGGAGACAGCAGUGGGGAAUUUUGGACAAUGGGCGAAAGCCUGAUCCAGUCAUGCCGCGUGCAGGAUGAAGGCCUUCGGGUUGUAAACUGCUUUUGUACGGAACGAAAAGACUCUGGUUAAUACCUGGGGUCCAUGACGGUACCGUAAGAAUAAGCACCGGCUAACUACGUG